rnacentral:rRNA from 1 species
AGCGAACGCUGGCGGCAGGCUUAACACAUGCAAGUCGAACGCCCCGCAAGGGGAGUGGCAGACGGGUGAGUAACACGUGGGAACGUACCCUUUGGUUCGGAAUAACUUGGGGAAACUCAAGCUAAUACCGGAUAAGCCCUUAUGGGGAAAGGUUUACUGCCGAAGGAUCGGCCCGCGUCUGAUUAGCUAGUUGGUGAGGUAAUGGCUCACCAAGGCGACGAUCAGUAGAUGGUCUGAGAGGAUGAUCAGCCACACUGGGACUGAGACACGGCCCAGACUCCUACGGGAGGCAGCAGUGGGGAAUAUUGGACAAUGGGGGCAACCCUGAUCCAGCCAUGCCGCGUGAGUGAUGAAGGCCUUAGGGUUGUAAAGCUCUUUUACCCGGGACGAUAAUGACUGUACCGGGAGAAUAAGCCCCGGCUAACUUCGUGCCAGCCGCCGCAGUAACAC